rnacentral:tRNA from 6 species
GGGCGCAUAGCUCAGCUGGGAGAGCACCUGCCUUACAAGCAGGGGGUCACAGGUUCGAGCCCUGUUGCGCCCACCA